UACGUAGGGUCCGAGCGUUGUCCGGAAUUAUUGGGCGUAAGGAGCUCGUAGGCGGUUUGUCGCGUCUGCUGUGAAAUCCCGAGGCUCAACCUCGGGUCUGCAGUGGGUACGGGCAGACUGGAGUGCGGUAGGGGAGAAUGGAAUUCCUGGUGUAGCGGUGGAAUGCGCAGAUAUCAGGAGGAACACCGAUGGCGAAGGCAGUUCUCUGGGCCGUAACUGACGCUGAGGAGCGAAAGCGUGGGGAGCGAACAGG
rnacentral:rRNA from 1 species